rnacentral:rRNA from 1 species
UACGUAGGGGCCGAGCGUUGUCCGGAGUUAUUGGGCGUAAAGCGCGCGCAGGCGGCUUGGCGCGCCCGACGUGAAAGCCCCCGGCUUAACCGGGGAGGGUCGUCGGGUACGGCCAGGCUUGAGGGCGGGAGAGGGUGGUGGAAUUCCCGGUGUAGUGGUGAAAUGCGUAGAGAUCGGGAGGAACCCCUGUGGCGAAGGCGGCCACCUGGGCCGACCCUGACGCUGAGGCGCGAAGGCGUGGGGAGCGAACGGG